UCCCCGGUAGCUCAACGGUAGAGCGCCUCCCUGUUAAGGAGAUUGUUGUCCGUUCGAAUCGGACCCGGGGAG
rnacentral:tRNA from 1 species